UAGUCCACGCCGUAAACGAUGACAACUAGCCGUCGGGACCCUUGAGGUUUUGGUGGCGAAGCUAACGCGAUAAGUUGUCCGCCUGGGGAGUACGGCCGCAAGGCUAAAACUCAAAUGAAUUGACGGGGGCCCGCACAAGCGGUGGAGCAUGUUGUUUAAUUCGAUGCAACGCGAAGAACCUUACCACCCCUUGACAUCCUCAGAACUUGUUAGAAAUGACUUGGUGCCUUCGGGAACUGAGUGACAGGUGCUGCAUGGCUGUCGUCAGCUCGUGUCGUGAGAUGUUGGGUUAAGUCCCGUAACGAGCGCAACCCUUACCCUUAUUUGCCAGCGAGUAAUGUCGGGAACUCUAAGGGGACUGCCGGUGCAAACCGAGAGGAAGGUGGGGAUGACGUCAAAUCAUCACGGCCCUUACGUCCUGGGCUACACACGUGCUACAAUGGUCAGUACAGAGGGCAGCCACUACGCGAGUAGGAGCGAAUCCUUAAAACUGAUCUCAGUUCGGAUCGGAGU
rnacentral:rRNA from 1 species